AUAGUGGCUUUAUUUGUGAUAGCCAGAGCUGAAAACAACCUAGAUGUCCCACGACAGAAAAAUGGAUACAGAAAAUGUGGUCAUUUCCACAUGGAAUACUACUUGGCUAUUAAGAAUGAGGACAUCCUGAGCUUUGCAGGCAAAUAGAUGGAACUAGAAAAUAUCAUCCUGAGUGAGGUUCAAGAAUACAACCUAUCUUAUGCUACCAUAAUUUAGAAUACAGGAGAUGGCUAACCCAUGGGACUUGGAAAAUCCAGGAUUAACUAGUUAAACUGUCCAGAAAGCUCUGAUCUCAGCUGUUCACUGGCAGAACAGAUUGCCUCCCAAGUGCUUCUCUGCCAUUCGGUAUUCCUCAGAUGUGAGAGAGCCAUAAGCAAAGACAAGUCUGGCUUGAGUAGAAGUCUGUAUCAUUCACUGAAGAAAGGAGUAAAUGACUGAGGAAGAUCAUGUCACCCAUUGGCAUCCACAUGUAUCUGAAAAGAAGUCCAUGUGCCCCUCCCUGCAUGCAUGUGAAAACGUACAUGCAUGCGCAACACAGAUGCAGAAUGAGUUUCUAGUAUUGCAUCAAGCUAUUGGACUAUGAUUAGCUGCGAUGUUAAUUUCGGGUAAAGUGAUGCUUCUGCAUCAUCUUCCUCAGAAGAAAGAAUGAUCAGUUGUACUGCACUGGUGAUGACCAAUGGAUAGAGCAUCCGCAGCCUGUUUCCCAGUCAUCUACUGAACAGGAAGAGUGCUGGGUGUAGUCAUGUCUCAUCAAAUCCUAUAGUUUAGUUUUCUUAAUGGAAUUGUAGUUUCACUGAAAUGUAAACUGAAGAGCUGCUCAGGACAGUUUAUGAACAUCUUAGUUGACUAAGUUUCACUUUGGACAAUGCCACCAAAAGAGCAUUCUAGAUGUUCAUAAAUAAAUAAAGAUAAAUAGAUCCAU